CACGUAGGCGGAUAGGUAAGUCAGAUGUGAAAUCCCGGGGCUCAACUUCGGAACUGCAUUUGAUACUGCCUGUCUUGAGUGUGGUAGAGGGGGGUGGAAUUCCCGGUGUAGAGGUGAAAUUCGUAGAUAUCGGGAGGAACACCAGAGGCGAAGGCGACCCCCUGGGCCACUACUGACGCUGAGGUGCGAAAGCGUGGGGAGCGAACAG
rnacentral:rRNA from 1 species